UUCUCACGCUCCGAUUCAGCAGCCUGGGCAUGGAUCUACGCACCACUAAUCAAGCCAUGCUGUGGCAGGCAUCCCACAUAUAAAAGCAGAGCCAGGACCUACA